rnacentral:rRNA from 2 species
UGGCCUACGGGGGGCAGCAGUGGGGAAUAUUGGACAAUGGGCGCAAGCCUGAUCCAGCCAUGCCGCGUGAGUGAUGAAGGCCCUAGGGUUGUAAAGCUCUUUCACCGGUGAAGAUAAUGACGGUAACCGGAGAAGAAGCCCCGGCUAACUUCGUGCCAGCAGCCGCGGUAAUACGAAGGGGGCUAGCGUUGUUCGGAAUUACUGGGCGUAAAGCGCACGUAGGCGGGUAUUUAAGUCAGGGGUGAAAUCCCAGAGCUCAACUCUGGAACUGCCUUUGAUACUGGGGACCUAGAGUAUGGAAGAGGUAAGUGGAAUUCCGAGUGUAGAGGUGAAAUUCGUAGAUAUUCGGAGGAACACCAGUGGCGAAGGCGGCUUACUGGUCCAUUACUGACGCUGAGGUGCGAAAGCGUGGGGAGCAAACAGGAUUAGAUACCCCUGUAGUCC